AAGACACUGGUGAAAUAGUAAUCACACUGCCUUGUCAAGGCAGAAUUGUGGGUUCAACCCCCGCGUGUCUUG
rnacentral:tRNA from 1 species